rnacentral:rRNA from 1 species
CCUACGGGAGGCAGCAGUAAGGAAUAUUGGACAAUGGACGCAAGUCUGAUCCAGCCAUGCCGCGUGAAGGAUUAAGGCCCUCUGGGUUGUAAACUUCUUUUAUAGGGGACGAAAAAAGGGCUUUCUAGCUCGACUGACGGUACCCUAUGAAUAAGCACCGGCUAACUCCGUGCCAGCAGCCGCGGUAAUACGGAGGGUGCAAGCGUUAUCCGGAUUCACUGGGUUUAAAGGGUGCGUAGGCGGGCAGUUAAGUCAGUGGUGAAAUCUCUGGGCUCAACCCGGAAACUGCCAUUGAUACUAUCUGUCUUGAAUAUUGUGGAGGUGAGCGGAAUAUGUCAUGUAGCGGUGAAAUGCUUAGAUAUGACAUAGAACACCGAUUGCGUAGGCAGCUCGCUACACAUAUAUUGACGCUGAGGCACGAAAGCGUGGGGAUCAAACAGGAUUAGAUACCCUGGUAGUCCACGCCCUAAACUAUGAUUACUCGACAUAUGCGAUACACUGUAUGUGUNUGAGAGAAGACAUAAGUAAUACACCNCGGAGACGACCGACGAGUAGAAACGUACAAUAGAAGUUAGACGGACGUUAGAGACGNGACGACGGACGACACGAGGGGAGGUUAGG